UACGGAGGGUGCAAGCGUUGUCCGGAAUCACUGGGCGUAAAGGGCGCGUAGGCGGCUUGGUAAGUAGGGGGUGAAAUCCCUCGGCUUAACCGGGGAACUGCGUCUGAUACUGGCGAGCUUGAGUGCAGGAGAGGAACGCGGAAUUCCAGGUGUAGCGGUGAAAUGCGUAGAUAUCUGGAGGAACACCGGUGGCGAAGGCGGCGUUCUGGACUGCAACUGACACUGAUGAACGAAAGCCAGGGGAGCAAACGGG
rnacentral:rRNA from 1 species